UUUUAGACUGGCACUCCUAGAAUCUCUCCGAACAUCUAGGAGCGAAACUCUAAAAGA
rnacentral:pre_miRNA from 1 species